rnacentral:rRNA from 1 species
CGCUGGCGGCGUGCCUAACACAUGCAAGUCGAACGGGGUCAGCCCUUUCGGGGACUGACUUAGUGGCGAACGGGUGAGUAACGCGUGAGGAACCUGCCUUUCAGUGGGGGACAACAGUUGGAAACGACUGCUAAUACCGCAUAAUGUAUUUUAGGGGCAUCCCUUUAAUACCAAAGAUUUAUUGCUGAAAGAUGGACUCGCGUCCAAUUAGAUAGUUGGUGGGGUAACGGCCCACCAAGUCGACGAUUGGUAGCCGGACUGAGAGGUUGAACGGCCACAUUGGGACUGAGACACGGCCCAGACUCCUACGGGAGGCAGCAGUGGGGGAUAUUGCACAAUGGGGGAAACCCUGAUGCAGCAACGCCGCGUGAAGGAAGAAGGUCUUCGGAUUGUAAACUUCUGUUUUUAGUGAAGAAACAAAUGACGGUAGCUAAAGAGGAAGCCACGGCUAACUACGUG